rnacentral:rRNA from 1 species
UAUCCGGAUUUAUUGGGCGUAAAGGGCUCGUAGGCGGCUCGUCGCGUCCGGUGUGAAAGUCCAUCGCUUAACGGUGGAUCUGCGCCGGGUACGGGCGGGCUGGAGUGCGGUAGGGGAGACUGGAAUUCCCGGUGUAACGGUGGAAUGUGUAGAUAUCGGGAAGAACACCGAUGGCGAAGGCAGGUCUCUGGGCCGUCACUGACGCUGAGGAGCGAAAGCGUGGGGAGCGAACAGGAUUAGAUACCCUGGUAGUCCACGCCGUAAACGGUGGACGCUGGAUGUGGGGCACGUUCCACGUGUUCCGUGUCGGAGCUAACGCGUUAAGCGUCCCGCCUGGGGAGUACGGCCGCAAGGCUAAAACUCAAAGAAAUUGACGGGGGCCCGCACAAGCGGCGGAGCAUGCGGAUUAAUUCGAUGCAACGCGAAGAACCUUACCUGGGCUUGACAUGUUCCCGACGACGCCAGAGAUGGCGUUUCCCUUCGGGGCGGGUUCACAGGUGGUGCAUGGUCGUCGUCAGCUCGUGUCGUGAGAUGUUGGGUUAAGUCCCGCAACGAGCGCAACCCUCGCCCCGUGUUGCCAGCACGUUAUGGUGGGAACUCACGGGGGACCGCCGGGGUUAACUCGGAGGAAGGUGGGG